UAGUUCUCCCGCUCUACCCCAAACUCAUUUUCAUCUCCCGCUCAAACUCAUCUUCAUCACCCGUUCUACCCCUCUUUCUUAUCAGUUCUGCAAUGGUCAGACCACCACUGCCGUCAUCUUUAUCUCCCGGCUCCUUCUCGAUCCAUCGCCACGCGACACCACUGACGCACCUCCUCCAAUUCGAACCACCAGGUUCUUCUUACAAAAUACAGGGUUAUCACUUUCCAGAUUAUCCAGGUGUUUGAGGUAUUGCAUUGUUGGGGGUAAAAAGGCACUUGAAGUUGCUGAUUUUGGUGGUGAUAAUCUCUCUAAGGCGCUUGAAGACGCUGAUAUUGUGUUUUGCAAAUAUGUUUUCUAGACUAAUGUAAUCUUCUUGUAACUUGUCUGUAUAGUUAUUGUUUUGGGGCGUGGCUAAUCAGAGCUGACUCGAGGGGGAUAGAAGUCAAGGAAGGGCUUUGCCCCCCACUUUAAAAGGGCCCAUAAAUUAAAAAAAAAAAACAAGUAUUGUAAUUUGGGUUUCAAUUGGAACAUGAACUCCUGAACUCUUGAAUCAAUCGGAAAGCAUGAAAAGUGGCGGUUGUUUUAGUGUUUCAAGCAAAAAUUGAAGAGUCAAAACUCAAAAACCUAACUUCAUGAAGACGAUCACUCAUCUAUGCUUUUCAGUCGUUGUUCAUCUCUUAGCUACAAGGUAAUUUCUACGAUUCUAGUUGGAAGUAUGAAUUGAAGAUGUUGGUUUGGGUUGGACGUAUGAAGGGGUCGGUUCAAGAAGUUAUAGUAUAUCAUUUUCAUCUUUAGAGAUAUAUGUAUUUGUGUUACUUCGAAACUUUUGUAAUUUUGUGUUACUUUGAAACCUUUGUAAUUUAUAUUCUUGGAUUAUAUUUUAUUGGUUUUAAUUUUU